rnacentral:rRNA from 1 species
GAUGAACGCUAGCGGCAGGCCUAAUACAUGCAAGUCGGACGGGAUUCAGGAGCUUGCUUCUGAUGAGAGUGGCGCACGGGUGCGUAACACGUAUGUAACCUACCUUUAUCAGGGGGAUAGCCUCUCGAAAGAGAGAUUAAGCCCGCAUAAAAUCACAGCACAGCAUUGUGUAAUGAUCAAAUAUUUAUAGGAUAAAGAUGGGCAUGCGGAACAUUAGCUAGAUGGCGGGGUAACGGCCCACCAUGGCGACGAUGUUUAGGGGAUCUGAGAGGAUGGCCCCCCAACAUGGUACUGAGACCCGGACCAGAAUCCUACGGGAGGCAGCAGUAAGGAAUAUUGGUCAAUGGGCGGAAGCCUGAACCAGCCAUGCCGCGUGCAGGAAGACGGCCCUACGGGUUGUAAACUGCUUUUAUACGGGAAUAAACCCAGAUACGUGUAUCUGGCUGAAUGUACUGUAAGAAUAAGGAUCGGCUAACUCCGUG